GUAAUACCAGCAUGAAUGAAAAAAAAAAGGUUGAAGAGUGUAUCAAAAUGCAAAUGGUAGUUAGAGACAUAUCGUGAUGUACUGUGAUGGAAUGAUAAUGUUAUGAAUAUCUGUUGCUAUAUUCCAGCAAUUAAAAGAAUCUGUUUUUUGUAAAUGGGAUAGACACAUUAAAUCAACAUCUGUCAGAUUCAGACUUAAACAGCUAAGGGAAAAACCAAAGGCAAUGAUGGCAGGGGUUUUAUAUUUAUAAGGAAAUACUAUAUGGAUCAAUUUUUAAGAUUUGCUUCUUUUGAUAAAAUGAAAAAUACCAAUUGUUUCCAUAAAAUAAGCUUUGCUUUUACAUUUGACAUUUAGUUUGUCCAUGUUUCUUUGUUUUGCUUUUCAGACUCAACUUUUCUACAUAAUUAAGAAUUUACAGCUUAGGCACUGCCAAAAACCACAUCUGAACUGAAAUCAAUUAUCUGUGUUUGAUGACUUCCACUAACAUAGAUGGAGGAUGUAUAGCCCGUUUCAAUGAGACACCCAGGGCCCUGAGUAUUGUGGUUGGAGUUCUGGCUUAAAUUCAGACACUGGAAAACACAAGUAAUAAGAAGACCAUUUUGAGAAGAGCAGAUAGUCGCCUUAAGAAAAUCCCUGUCAUAUGCACUCUGGGAUUUGGACUCAAAUCCUAAUUAUACAGUCUGUAAUGAUGAUGAGAACAGGAAAUUCGGACAGGAAAAUGGGUCGCUUCUUAGGCUUCCUGCCAGACUUUGAAAACCACCAUAACAAGUUGUUUCUGCCAAAGUGGGUAUGAGUGAUACAGAAGAACGUAUAUGAGGCAGAGGUUGAUUCUUCCAGACUCUAGGAGGAAAAGCAUCGAAGAUAUUCCACAGAGAAACCUGAAAGCAUCGUAAAGGUAAGAAACGAACAGGUGACAAUAACUAGGAAGAAUUUGUCCUUCUUUAUGUGGAGAUUAUAAAAAAAAAAAGAAAAUAGAAGAUACAAAGGAGGAAAGCAUUGUUCCUUAUAGCAUGUUGCUGGUUGUCGCAGCUAGAUUACCAUUGACUGUUGCAAAGCUGAGCAAG
rnacentral:lncRNA from 12 species